GACGAACGCUGGCGGCGUGCUUAACACAUGCAAGUCGAGCGGUAAGGCCCUUUCGGGGGUACACGAGCGGCGAACGGGUGAGUAACACGUGGGUGACCUGCCCUCAGCUCUGGGAUAAGCCUGGGAAACCGGGUCUAAUACUGGAUAUGACUCCAUGACGCAUGUUGUGGGGUGGAAAGCCUUGUGCGGCUGAGGAUGGGCCCGCGGCCUAUCAGCUUGUUGGUGGGGUGAUGGCCUACCAAGGCGACGACGGGUAGCCGGCCUGAGAGGGCGACCGGCCACACUGGGACUGAGACACGGCCCAGACUCCUACGGGAGGCAGCAGUGGGGAAUCUUGCGCAAUGGGCGAAAGCCUGACGCAGCGACGCCGCGUGAGGGAUGACGG
rnacentral:rRNA from 1 species